AGAGAAAUUUGCGAGGUUACUGCUAAUAACUUCCUGUCGGUUUAUUCUAGACUUUCUCUU
rnacentral:tRNA from 1 species